rnacentral:sRNA from 1 species
GCAAAUACGCACACGCGCCGGUACCUGCAGCAGGGUGCCCUAUCAGAAAAAAGGGUCGUUUGUAGGGGCUGCGUGGAGGAUUAAC